rnacentral:rRNA from 1 species
GACGAACGCUGGCGGCGUGCUUAACACAUGCAAGUCGAACGGAAAGGCCCCUUUGGGGGUACUCGCUUGGCGAACGGGUGAGUAACACGUGAGUAACCUGCCCUUGACUUCGGGAUAACUUCAGGAAACUGGGGCUAAUACCGUAUAGGAAUCCUUGCUGCAUGGUGGGGGUUGGAAAGCUUCGGCGGUUUUGGAUGGACUCGCGGCUUAUCAGCUUGUUGGUGGGGUAGUGGCUUACCAAGGCUUUGACGGGUAGCCGGCCUGAGAGGGCGACCGGCCACAUUGGGACUGAGAUACGGCCCAGACUCCUACGGGAGGCAGCAGUGGGGAAUAUUGCACAAUGGGCGGAAGACUGAUGCAGCAACGCCGCGUGCGGGAUGACGGCCUUCGGGUUGUAAACCGCUUUCAGCAGGGGCGAAGCUUGUGGUGACGGUACCUGCAGAAGAAGCACCGGCUAACUACGUG